ACUCAAAGGAAUUGACGGGGGCCCGCACAAGCGGUGGAGCAUGUGGUUCAAUUCGACGCAACGCGAAGAACCUUACCUGGGUUGGAACCCUCCAGAACCCUUCAGAGAUGAAGGGGUGCCUCUUUGAGGAGCUGGAUGUCCAGGUGCUGCAUGGCUGUCGUCAGCUCGUGUCGUGAGAUGUUGGGUUAAGUCCCGCAACGAGCGCAACCCUUGUCGUUAGUUGCCAGCGGUUCGGCCGGGCACUCUAACGAGACUGCCGGUGUUAAACCGGAGGAAGGUGGGGAUGACGUCAAGUCCUCAUGGCCCUCAUGCCCAGGGCUACACACGUGCUACAAUGGCCGGUACAAAGGGUCGCAAACCCGCGAGGGCAAGCUAAUCCCAAAAAACCGGCCUCAGUUCAGAUUGAAGUCUGCAACUCGACUUCAUGAAGUCGGAAUCGCUAGUAAUCCCUGAUCAGCAGGCAGGGGUGAAUACGUUCCCGGGCCUUGCACACACCGCCCGU
rnacentral:rRNA from 1 species